GACGAACGCUGGCGGCGUGCGUAACACAUGCAAGUCGAACGAGAGAGUGAGAGAAGCUUGCUUUUCUUAUGAUCGAGUGGCAAACGGGUGAGUAACGCGUAAACAACCUGCCCCGCAGAUGGGGACAACAGCUGGAAACGGCUGCUAAUACCGAAUACGCUCCUCUUAGCGCAUGGUAAGAGGAAGAAAGGGUGGCCUCUGGAACAAGCUACCGCUGUGGGAGGGGUUUGCGUCUGAUUAGCUGGUUGGAGGGGUAACGGCCCACCAAGGCGACGAUCAGUAGCCGGUCUGAGAGGAUGAACGGCCACAUUGGAACUGAGACACGGUCCAGACUCCUACGGGAGGCAGCAGUGGGGAAUCCUCCGCAAUGGGCGAAAGCCUGACGGAGCAACGCCGCGUGAGUGAAGACGGCCUUCGGGUUGUAAAGCUCUGUUAUAGGGGACGAACGGCCGGGUAGCGAAGACCGGCAUGACGGUACCGUAAGAGAAAGCCACGCUAACUACUGCCAGCAGCCGCGGUAAUACGUAGGUGGCAAGCGUUGUCCGGAAUGAUUGGGCGUAAAGGGCGCGCAGGCGGCUGUGUAAGUCUGUCUAAAAAGUGCGGGGCUAAACCCCGUGAGAGGAUGGACACUGGACAGCUGAGAGUGUCGGAGAGGAAAGCGGAAUUCCUAGUGUAGCGGUGAAAUGCGUAGAUAUUAGGAGGAACACCGGUGGCGAAAGCGGCUUUCUGGACGACAACUGACGCUGAGGCGCGAAAGCCAGGGGAGCAAACGGGAUUAGAUACCCCGGUAGUCCUGGCCGUAAACGAUGGGUACUAGUGUAGGAGGUAUCGACCCCUCCUGUGCCGGAGUUAACCAAUAGUACCCCGCCUGGGGAGUACGCCGCAAGGCUGAAACUCAAAGGAAUUGACGGGGCCCGCACAAGCGGUGGUAGUAUGUGGUUUAUUCGACGCAACGCGAA
rnacentral:rRNA from 1 species